AGGAGUUUGGAUCCUGGCUCAGAAUCAACGCUGGCGGCGUGCCUAACACAUGCAAGUCGAGCGCGAAAGUGGACUUCGGUCCGCGAGUAGAGCGGCGAACGGGUGAGUAACGCGUGGGUGAUCUGCCUUCGAGUGGGGAAUAACACCGGGAAACUGGUGCUAAUACCGCAUGACAUCCUCGGUUCGUUCCGGGGAUCAAAGCUGGGGACCGUAAGGCCUGGCGCUUGAAGAGGAGCCCGCGUCCGAUUAGCUUGUUGGCGGGGUAAUGGCCCACCAGGGCUUCUAUCGGUAGCCGGCCUGAGAGGGCGGACGGCCACACUGGGACUGAGACACGGCCCAGACUCCUACGGGAGGCAGCAGUGGGGAAUUUUCCGCAAUGGGGGAAACCCUGACGGAGCAACGCCGCGUGGAGGAUGAAGGCCCUCGGGUCGUAAACUCCUGUCGAUCGGGAAGAAUGCGUCCGACCCAAUACGUCGGGCGUUGACUGUACCGGUGGAGGAAGCCACGGCUAACUCUGUGCCAGCAGCCGCGGUAAGACAGAGGUGGCAAGCGUUGUUCGGAAUUACUGGGCGUAAAGGGCGCGCAGGCGGUUCGCCAAGUCCCGUGUGAAAUCCCCCGGCUCAACUGGGGAACUGCGCGGGAAACUAGUGAACUUGAGUUCGGGAGAGGAAAGCGGAAUUCCGGGUGUAGCGGUGAAAU
rnacentral:rRNA from 1 species